UACGAAGGGGGCUAGCGUUGCUCGGAAUUACUGGGCGUAAAGCGCACGUAGGCGGAUAUUUAAGUCAGGGGUGAAAUCCCGGGGCUCAACCCCGGAACUGCCUUUGAUACUGGGUAUCUAGAGUCCAGAAGAGGUGAGUGGAAUUCCGAGUGUAGAGGUGAAAUUCGUAGAUAUUCGGAGGAACACCAGUGGCGAAGGCGGCUCACUGGUCUGGUACUGACGCUGAGGUGCGAAAGCGUGGGGAGCAAACAGG
rnacentral:rRNA from 1 species